rnacentral:rRNA from 1 species
GGUUAAGCGACUAAGCGUACACGGUGGAUGCCCUGGCAGUCAGAGGCGAUGAAGGACGUGCUAAUCUGCGAUAAGCGUCGGUAAGGUGAUAUGAACCGUUAUAACCGGCGAUUUCCGAAUGGGGAAACCCAGUGUGAUUCGUCACACUAUCAUUAACUGAAUCCAUAGGUUAAUGAGGCGAACCGGGGAACUGAAACAUCUAAGUACCCCGAGGAAAAGAAAUCAACCGAGAUUCCCCCAGUAGCGGCGAGCGAACGGGGAGCAGCCCAGAGCCUGAAUCAGUGUGUGUGUUAGUGGAAGCGUCUGGAAAGGCGCGCGAUACAGGGUGACAGCCCGUACACAAAAAUGCACAUAUUGUGAGCUCGAUGAGUAGGGCGGGACACGUGGUAUCCUGUCUGAAUAUGGGGGGCCCAUCCUCCAAGGCUAAAUACUCCUGACUGACCGAUAGUGAACCAGUACCGUGAGGGAAAGGCGAAAAGAACCCCGGCGAGGGGAGUGAAAAAGAACCUGAAACCGUGUACGUACAAGCAGUGGGAGCACGCUUAGGCGUGUGACUGCGUACCUUUGUAUAAUGGGUCAGCGACUUAUAUUCUGUAGCAAGGUUAACCGAAUAGGGAGCCGAAGGGAAACCGAGUCUUAACUGGGCGUUAAGUUGCAGGGUAUAGACCCGAAACCCGGUGAUCUCAGCCAUGGGCAGGUUGAAGGUUGGGUAACACUAACUGGAGGACCGGAACCGACUAAUGUUGAAAAAUUAGCGGAUGACUUGUGGCUGGGGGUGAAAGGCCAAUCAAACCGGGAGAUAGCUGGUUCUCCCCGAAAGCUAUUUAGGUAGCGCCUCGUGAAUUCAUCUCCGGGGUAGAGCACUGUUUCGGCAAGGGGGUCAUCCCGACUUACCAACCCGAUGCAAACUGCGAAUACCGGAGAAUGUUAUCACGGGAGACACACGGCGGGUGCUAACGUCCGUCGUGAAGAGGGAAACAACCCAGACCGCCAGCUAAGGUCCCAAAGUCAUGGUUAAGUGGGAAACGAUGUGGGAAGGCCCAGACAGCCAGGAUGUUGGCUUAGAAGCAGCCAUCAUUUAAAGAAAGCGUAAUAGCUCACUGGUCGAGUCGGCCUGCGCGGAAGAUGUAACGGGGCUAAACCAUGCACCGAAGCUGCGGCAGCGACGCUUAUGCGUUGUUGGGUAGGGGAGCGUUCUGUAAGCCUGCGAAGGUGUGCUGUGAGGCAUGCUGGAGGUAUCAGAAGUGCGAAUGCUGACAUAAGUAACGAUAAAGCGGGUGAAAAGCCCGCUCGCCGGAAGACCAAGGGUUCCUGUCCAACGUUAAUCGGGGCAGGGUGAGUCGACCCUAAGGCGAGGCCGAAAGGCGUAGUCGAUGGGAAACAGGUUAAUAUUCCUGUACUUGGUGUUACUGCGAAGGGGGGACGGAGAAGGCUAUGUUGGCCGGGCGACGGUUGUCCCGGUUUAAGCGUGUAGGCUGGUUUUCCAGGCAAAUCCGGAAAAUCAAGGCUGAGGCGUGAUGACGAGGCACUACGGUGCUGAAGCAACAAAUGCCCUGCUUCCAGGAAAAGCCUCUAAGCAUCAGGUAACAUCAAAUCGUACCCCAAACCGACACAGGUGGUCAGGUAGAGAAUACCAAGGCGCUUGAGAGAACUCGGGUGAAGGAACUAGGCAAAAUGGUGCCGUAACUUCGGGAGAAGGCACGCUGAUAUGUAGGUGAAGUCCCUUGCGGAUGGAGCUGAAAUCAGUCGAAGAUACCAGCUGGCUGCAACUGUUUAUUAAAAACACAGCACUGUGCAAACACGAAAGUGGACGUAUACGGUGUGACGCCUGCCCGGUGCCGGAAGGUUAAUUGAUGGGGUCAGCGCAAGCGAAGCUCUUGAUCGAAGCCCCGGUAAACGGCGGCCGUAACUAUAACGGUCCUAAGGUAGCGAAAUUCCUUGUCGGGUAAGUUCCGACCUGCACGAAUGGCGUAAUGAUGGCCAGGCUGUCUCCACCCGAGACUCAGAGUGAAAUUGAACUCGCUGUGAAGAUGCAGUGUACCCGCGGCAAGACGGAAAGACCCCGUGAACCUUUACUAUAGCUUGACACUGAACAUUGAGCCUUGAUGUGUAGGAUAGGUGGGAGGCUUUGAAGUGUGGACGCCAGUCUGCAUGGAGCCGGCCUUGAAAUACCACCCUUUAAUGUUUGAUGUUCUAACGUGGACCCGUGAUCCGGGUUGCGGACAGUGUCUGGUGGGUAGUUUGACUGGGGCGGUCUCCUCCUAAAGAGUAACGGAGGAGCACGAAGGUUGGCUAAUCCUGGUCGGACAUCAGGAGGUUAGUGCAAUGGCAUAAGCCAGCUUGACUGCGAGCGUGACGGCGCGAGCAGGUGCGAAAGCAGGUCAUAGUGAUCCGGUGGUUCUGAAUGGAAGGGCCAUCGCUCAACGGAUAAAAGGUACUCCGGGGAUAACAGGCUGAUACCGCCCAAGAGUUCAUAUCGACGGCGGUGUUUGGCACCUCGAUGUCGGCUCAUCACAUCCUGGGGCUGAAGUAGGUCCCAAGGGUAUGGCUGUUCGCCAUUUAAAGUGGUACGCGAGCUGGGUUUAGAACGUCGUGAGACAGUUCGGUCCCUAUCUGCCGUGGGCGCUGGAGAACUGAGGGGGGCUGCUCCUAGUACGAGAGGACCGGAGUGGACGCAUCACUGGUGUUCGGGUUGUCAUGCCAAUGGCACUGCCCGGUAGCUAAAUGCGGAAGAGAUAAGUGCUGAAAGCAUCUAAGCACGAAACUUGCCCCGAGAUGAGUUCUCCCUGACCCUUUAAGGGUCCUGAAGGAACGUUGAAGACGACGACGUUGAUAGGCCGGGUGUGUAAGCGCAGCGAUGCGUUGAGCUAACCGGUACUAAUGAACCGUGAGGCUUAACCUU